rnacentral:rRNA from 1 species
UACGGAGGGUGCGAGCGUUGUCCGGAAUCACUGGGCGUAAAGGGCGCGUAGGCGGCUUGGGAAGUCCGUGGUGAAAGCCCGAGGCUCAACUUCGGGUCGGCCCAUGGAUACUCCUAAGCUCGAGUCGACUAGAGGCUAAUGGAAUUCCGGGUGUAGCGGUGGAAUGCGUAGAGAUCCGGAAGAACACCGGUGGCGAAGGCGGUUAGCUGGGGUCGGACUGGACGCGAGGCGCGACAGCGUGGGGA